GGUUUAAUUCGAUGAUACGCGAGGAACCUUACCCGGGCUUAAAUUGCACUCGAAUGAUCCGGAAACGGUUCAGCUAGCAAUAGCGAGUGUGAAGGUGCUGCAUGGUUGUCGUCAGCUCGUGCCGUGAGGUGUCGGCUUAAGUGCCAUAACGAGCGCAACCCUUGUUGUCAGUUACUAACAGGUGAUGCUGAGGACUCUGACAAGACUGCCAUCGUAAGAUGUGA
rnacentral:rRNA from 1 species